GCGCCGGCUUAACACAUGCAAGUCGAGCGGAUGAAGGGAGCUUGCUCCUGGAUUCAGCGGCGGACGGGUGAGUAAUGCCUAGGAAUCUGCCUGGUAGUGGGGGAUAACGUCCGGAAACGGGCGCUAAUACCGCAUACGUCCUGAGGGAGAAAGUGGGGGAUCUUCGGACCUCACGCUAUCAGAUGAGCCUAGGUCGGAUUAGCUAGUUGGUGGGGUAAAGGCCUACCAAGGCGACGAUCCGUAACUGGUCUGAGAGGAUGAUCAGUCACACUGGAACUGAGACACGGUCCAGACUCCUACGGGAGGCAGCAGUGGGGAAUAUUGGACAAUGGGCGAAAGCCUGAUCCAGCCAUGCCGCGUGUGUGAAGAAGGUCUUCGGAUUGUAAAGCACUUUAAGUUGGGAGGAAGGGCAGUAAGUUAAUACCUUGCUGUUUUGACGUUACCAACAGAAUAAGCACCGGCUAACUUCGUGCCAGCAGCCGCGGUAAUACGAAGGGUGCAAGCGUUAAUCGGAAUUACUGGGCGUAAAGCGCGCGUAGGUGGUUCAGCAAGUUGGAUGUGAAAUCCCCGGGCUCAACCUGGGAACUGCAUCCAAAACUACUGAGCUAGAGUACGGUAGAGGGUGGUGGAAUUUCCUGUGUAGCGGUGAAAUGCGUAGAUAUAGGAAGGAACACCAGUGGCGAAGGCGACCACCUGGACUGAUACUGACACUGAGGUGCGAAAGCGUGGGGAGCAAACAGGAUUAGAUACCCUGGUAGUCCACGCCGUAAACGAUGUCGACUAGCCGUUGGGAUCCUUGAGAUUCUUAGUGGCGCAGCUAACGCGAUAAGUCGACCGCCUGGGGAGUACGGCCGCAAGGUUAAAACUCAUAUGAAUUGACGGGGGCCCCGCACAGCGGUGGAGCUAUGUGAUAUUUCGGAAGCACGCGAAGACUUACUGGCCUUGACAUGCUUGAGACUUCCAGAGAUGGAAUGAUG
rnacentral:rRNA from 1 species